rnacentral:rRNA from 1 species
UACGUAGGGGGCAAGCGUUAAUCGGAAUUACUGGGCGUAAAGCGUGCGUAGGUGGUUCGUUAAGUCCGUUGUGAAAGCCCCGAGCUCAACUUGGGAAUUGCAGUGGAUACUGGCGAGCUGGAGUGCGGUAGAGGAAGGUGGAAUUCCCGGUGUAGCGGUGAAAUGCGUAGAGAUCGGGAGGAACACCAGUGGCGAAGGCGGCCUUCUGGACCAGCACUGACACUCAAGCACGAAAGCGUGGGGAGCAAACAGG